rfam:Sus scrofa chromosome 11.
GGACGCGAAGGCGAUCUGGCUACAUCUGUCACCCCACUGACCACCAUGCAUGAUUCAGCUCAUCUGGCUGGCUAAGCGGCUUCCUCUUCCUCCCUCACCAUUCCAUGUGCAUCCCUCCCCAAGCCGGGUAGGCAGUGGAAGAGGACAACCUUCCCAGAUAGAGAAGGACCACCCUUCGGUCAGGGGUAUGCAAGCAGCUGUCCUCCCCUGCUAGAACCUCCCAACAAGCUCUCAAGGGCUUGCUGCAGUUUAAAUAACUAAACAUAGAUUAAUUCACAGCUUGCCUUCAGUUUCA